rnacentral:rRNA from 1 species
GACGAACGCUGGCGGCGUGCCUAAUACAUGCAAGUAGAACGCUGAAGAGAGGAGCUUGCUCUUCUUGGAUGAGUUGCGAACGGGUGAGUAACGCGUAGGUAACCUGCCUUGUAGCGGGGGAUAACUAUUGGAAACGAUAGCUAAUACCGCAUAACAAUGGAUGACACAUGUCAUUUAUUUGAAAGGGGUAAUUGCUCCACUACAAGAUGGACCUGCGUUGUAUUAGCUAGUAGGUGAGGUAACGGCUCACCUAGGCGACGAUACAUAGCCGACCUGAGAGGGUGAUCGGCCACACUGGGACUGAGACACGGCCCAGACUCCUACGGGAGGCAGCAGUAGGGAAUCUUCGGCAAUGGGGGCAACCCUGACCGAGCAACGCCGCGUGAGUGAAGAAGGUUUUCGGAUCGUAAAGCUCUGUUGUAAGUCAAGAACGAGUGUGAGAGUGGAAAGUUCACACUGUGACGGUAGCUUACCAGAAAGGGACGGCUAACUACGUGCCAGCAGCCGCGGUAAUACGUAGGUCCCGAGCGUUAUCCGGAUUUAUUGGGCGUAAAGCGAGCGCAGGCGGUUAGAUAAGUCUGAAGUUAAAGGCUGUGGCUUAACCAUAGUACGCUUUGGAAACUGUUUAACUUGAGUGCAGAAGGGGAGAGUGGAAUUCCAUGUGUAGCGGUGAAAUGCGUAGAUAUAUGGAGGAACACCGGUGGCGAAAGCGGCUCUCUGGUCUGUAACUGACGCUGAGGCUCGAAAGCGUGGGGAGCAAACAGG